rnacentral:rRNA from 1 species
GUUUGAUCCUGGCUCAGGACGAACGCUGGCGGCGCGCCUAACACAUGCAAGUCGAACGAGCGAGAGAGAGCUUGCUUUCUCGAGCGAGUGGCGAACGGGUGAGUAACGCGUGAGGAACCUGCCUCAAAGAGGGGGACAACAGUUGGAAACGACUGCUAAUACCGCAUAAGCCCACGGGUCGGCAUCGACCAGAGGGAAAAGGAGCAAUCCGCUUUGAGAUGGCCUCGCGUCCGAUUAGCUGGUUGGUGAGGUAACGGCCCACCAAGGCAACGAUCGGUAGCCGGACUGAGAGGUUGAACGGCCACAUUGGGACUGAGACACGGCCCAGACUCCUACGGGAGGCAGCAGUGGGGAAUAUUGCACAAUGGGGGAAACCCUGAUGCAGCGACGCCGCGUGGAGGAAGAAGGUCUUCGGAUUGUAAACUCCUGUUGUUGAGGAAGAUAAUGACGGUACUCAACAAGGAAGUGACGGCUAACUACGUGCCAGCAGCCGCGGUAAAACGUAGGUCACAAGCGUUGUCCGGAAUUACUGGGUGUAAAGGGAGCGCAGGCGGGAAGACAAGUUGGAAGUGAAAUCUAUGGGCUCAACCCAUAAACUGCUUUCAAAACUGUUUUUCUUGAGUAGUGCAGAGGUAGGCGGAAUUCCCGGUGUAGCGGUGGAAUGCGUAGAUAUCGGGAGGAACACCAGUGGCGAAGGCGGCCUACUGGGCACCAACUGACGCUGAGGCUCGAAAGUGUGGGUAGCAAACAGGAUUAGAUACCCUGGUAGUCCACACCGUAAACGAUGAUUACUAGGUGUUGGAGGAUUGACCCCUUCAGUGCCGCAGUUCACACAAUAAGUAAUCCACCUGGGGAG